GUGCCAGCAGCCGCGGUAAUACGGAGGGGGCGAGCGUUGUUCGGAAUCAUUGGGCGUAAAGGGCGCGUAGGCGGCCUUGUAAGUCAGAUGUGAAAGCCCUUGGCUUAACCAAGGAAUUGCAUCUGAAACUGCGAGGCUUGAGUCCGGGAAGGGAGAGUGGAAUUCCCAGUGUAGCGGUGAAAUGCGUAGAUAUUGGGAGGAACACCGGUGGCGAAGGCGGCUCUCUGGACCGGUACUGACGCUGAUGCGCGAAAGCUAGGGGAGCAAACGGGAUUAGAUACCCCGGUAGUCC
rnacentral:rRNA from 1 species